UACGGGGGGGGCAAGCGUUGUUCGGAAUUACUGGGCGUAAAGGGCUCGUAGGCGGCCAACUAAGUCAGACGUGAAAUCCCUCGGCUUAACCGGAGAACUGCGUCUGAUACUGGAUGGCUUGAGUUCGGGAGAGGGAUGCGGAAUUCCAGGUGUAGCGGUGAAAUGCGUAGAUAUCUGGAGGAACACCGGUGGCGAAGGCGGCAUCCUGGACCGACACUGACGCUGAGGAGCGAAAGCCAGGGGAGCAAACGGG
rnacentral:rRNA from 1 species